rnacentral:rRNA from 1 species
GACGAACGCUGGCGGCGUGCCUAAUACAUGCAAGUCGAACGAGAAAUUCUUACACCGGAUGAUUGCAUCCACCGUAAGAUUUCGAGUGGCGGACGGGUGAGUAACACGUGGGUAACCUGCCCAAAAGAAGGGGAUAACAUUUGGAAACAAGUGCUAAUACCGUAUAACCAUGAUGACCGCAUGGUCAUGAUGUAAAAGGUGGUUUUGCUAUCGCUUUUGGAUGGACCCGCGGCGUAUUAACUAGUUGGUAAGGUAACGGCUUACCAAGGUGAUGAUACGUAGCCGAACUGAGAGGUUGAUCGGCCACAAUGGGACUGAGACACGGCCCAUACUCCUACGGGAGGCAGCAGUAGGGAAUUUUCCGCAAUGGGCGAAAGCCUGACGGAGCAAUGCCGCGUGAGUGAAGAAGGGCAAUGCCGCUUGUAAAGCUCUUUCGUCGAGUGCGCGAUCAUGACAGGACUCGAGGAAGAAGCCCCGGCUAACUCCGUGCCAGCCGCCGCCGUAACAC